rnacentral:rRNA from 1 species
GAGUUUGAUUCUGGCUCAGGACGAACGCUGGCGGCGUGCCUAAUACAUGCAAGUCGAACGAACGGAGAAAGAAGCUUGCUUUUUUCAAAGUUAGUGGCGAACGGGUGAGUAACACGUGGGUAACCUGCCCAUCAGAGGGGGAUAACAUUCGGAAACGGAUGCUAAAACCGCAUAGGUUCCUUAGUUGCAUGACUGAGGAAGGAAAAGAGGCGUAAGCUUCUGCUGGUGGAUGGACCCGCGGUGCAUUAGCUAGUUGGUGAGGUAACGGCUCACCAAGGCGAUGAUGCAUAGCCGACCUGAGAGGGUGAUCGGCCACAUUGGGACUGAGACACGGCCCAAACUCCUACGGGAGGCAGCAGUAGGGAAUCUUCCGCAAUGGACGCAAGUCUGACGGAGCAACGCCGCGUGAGUGAAGAAGGUUUUCGGAUCGUAAAACUCUGUUGUUAGAGAAGAAUAAGCAUAAUAGUAACUGAUUAUGCCGUGACG